rnacentral:rRNA from 1 species
GUGGGGAAUAUUGGGCAAUGGGCGAAAGCCUGACCCAGCAACGCCGCGUGAAGGAAGAAGGUUUUCGGAUCGUAAACUUCUAUCCUUGGUGAAGAUAAUGACGGUAGCCAAGAAGGAAGCCCCGGCUAACUACGUGCCAGCAGCCGCGGUAAUACGUAGGGGGCAAGCGUUGUCCGGAAUGAUUGGGCGUAAAGGGCGCGUAGGCGGCCCGGUAAGUCUGAAGUGAAAGUCCUGCUUUUAAGGUGGGAAUUGCUUUGGAUACUGUCGGGCUUGAGUGCAGGAGAGGUAAGCGGAAUUCCCGGUGUAGCGGUGAAAUGCGUAGAGAUCGGGAGGAACACCAGUGGCGAAGGCGGCUUACUGGACUGUAACUGACGUUGAGGCCCGAAAGCGUGGGGAGCAAACAGGAUUAGAAACCCGAGUAGUCC